rnacentral:misc_RNA from 1 species
GUGACAGAAAAUGGAACGCUAUACGUAAUCUGCAACUCACAACUAUUAGUGCAUGCUUUCAAGGGAAGAACUAGUAAAAUAUUGCAGUUAUUUUGAUAAAACUUUUACAUACAGCAAGAGGAAAGCCAAGAAGAGCAAAUACAAUCAAGGCAGCUAUCUUGAUAAAUGCACUGCCUCCAAUUACAUGUUCAAUUCCAUCAGAAUAUUCACCAACGGAUAUCAAACUAAUGAUAGCAGUGACUGCCAUGGAGGCAAAUACAAUAAAAUUGCUCAUUGCCCA